rnacentral:rRNA from 1 species
AGGGUUUGAUCAUGGCUCAGGAUGAACGCUGGCGGCGUGCUUAACACAUGCAAGUCGAGCGAAGCGAUUUAGCGGAAGUUUUCGGAUGGAAGUUGGAUUGACUGAGCGGCGGACGGGUGAGUAACGCGUGGGUAACCUGCCUCAUACAGGGGGAUAACAGUUAGAAAUGACUGCUAAUACCGCAUAAGCGCACGAGGACGCAUGUUCUUGUGUGAAAAGCCGAGACGGUAUGAGAUGGACCCGCGUCUGAUUAGCUAGUUGGUGAGGUAACGGCCCACCAAGGCGACGAUCAGUAGCCGACCUGAGAGGGUGACCGGCCACAUUGGGACUGAGACACGGCCCAA